rnacentral:lncRNA from 1 species
AUACAUAUUGGGGGCAGAAUUAAUAAGUAACCAAAACAUGUUUUUUUGAAAAUACGUAGUUGAUUUGGGGAUAGUAAAGCCUGAAUCUGGCUAGGUAUGCUAGGAUCACACAAACUGUGGAAUCGAAGCACACCAUAAUCAAUGGGGAUAGUAAAGCCUGAAUCUGGCUAGGUAUGCUAGGAUCACACAAACUGUGGAAUCGAAGCACACUAUAAUCAACAUUUUGU